UCUCCACUGUCCUAUCAAAAUCCUCUUCAUCCUUUAAAGGUGAAUCUGGGAGCUGAUAAAUCUCUUUUUUAUUUUAGUCAGAAUUUUUUGUUUGAAUAGUAGCUUUCAGUAUAUGAUUUUUAUUUUCAUUUUAUGUAUGUAUGUAUGUAUGUAAUCUCUGCACCCAGUAUGGGACUCAAACUCAUGACCUCAAGACCAAGAGUCACAUGCUACUGACUGAGUCAUCCAGGCACCCCAAUGUAUGAUUUUUAAAAAACUGAUUUUAAUUGAAAUAACAUACAGAAUAGUACACAAAUCACAGAUAAGUUUUCUCAAAGUGAACACACUUGUUUACCACCCAGUGAAGAUAUAAAACCUUAUCUAAAAGCAUGUAUAUUCUUUCCUAUGUUCUGUCUUGAUGACCAGGGAAUUUAGGCCCAGCCUUACUUUUGGACUUACUUUUUUCCCUCUGUGUGGGAUGUCCUUUCCCUUUUGAUGGGUUUUCAGAAAAUAGAAAGAAGAAUUCCAGUUUUUCUUUAAACAAGAAGAGAAUUUAGGACUUGAAAUUAAAACGAUGCAUGUUGCAACAGAACUGUUACACGUCUAUAGAUAAAGACCAAACAGCAGCUGGGUAAACUAUCAAGGGAUCCCCGCACAGUCCACCUAUCAGGUUACACAGUUGAGGGGCUUGUUCUGAAGUAGAGCCUCAGAAGACAAAUCAGAGGCUGAGUCCCCAUUACUGAGAGGACAUAUGGACCCACAGAACUUGCUAUGAGAAAGUCUUCUGUCUCUGACAACUCUAACCAAUGCCGUGAUUCAGUUUAAUAGUUUUUGUUGAACUGGAAGACUGUCAAAAUGGCUUCCGGACAAUUGUCUGUCCAAGUACAUGAUACGUUAAUCUUUCAAGUCAAUGGGAAGCAUACUUAAAGUAUAAAAUGGCCGCAUGUCAGGUGACAGGGAAAAUCCACGAUUAGCUAUUGCUACUGCAAUUCUGCAACUCACCUUGUCACAGUGAUUAGUCUAUGAAUGACACUUAAAUAAAGCCUAAACCAAUCAAUGCUUUUUUUUUUCUUUCUUUUUUUUAGGACUAGUGAUUGACUCAAAGUGGAUGCGUGACUUAAAUUGUUCCAAUUGGAGUGAAGCACAGAAGCCGAGGCCUUCUUCAGGGAGCUAAAUACUUAUACCUGGCCCAGGAGUUGGAGACUUUGAAAGAGGAUCCAAGGGAGGUUAGAGCAGCUGCAAAGCCAGCAGGAGCAAUCCAGAGAAGAGUCAGAAUAUGUGUAAGAGGAGUCCUAUCUGGAGAAGAAGAAGAAGGUGGAGGAGGAGGAGAAGAAUGAGAAGGAGAAGAAGGAGAAAGAGAAGGAGAAGAAGAAGGAGAAGAAGAAGAAGAAGAAGAAGAAGAAGAAGAAGAAGAAGAAGAAGGAGAAAGUCCUCUGACUUAGUGGAAACAAGGAAUCAGAUAUGCGUGUAUUUCAAGAUAAAAAUCUCAUGAGCAUGGGGUUGAGGAUAAAGUUGAAAGUAGAGUAGAUUUUCUGUCAUUGGAAAAGACAAUAUGGGUGUGAUCCUACCAGAAUAAAACAUGGUAAUGUGAUAGGGAAA